AGUGAACGCUGGCGGUAGGCCUAACACAUGCAAGUCGAACGGCAGCACAGUAAGAGCUUGCUCUUACGGGUGGCGAGUGGCGGACGGGUGAGGAAUACAUCGGAAUCUACUUUUUCGUGGGGGAUAACGUAGGGAAACUUACGCUAAUACCGCAUACGACCUAUGGGUGAAAGCAGGGGAUCUUCGGACCUUGCGCGAUUGAAUGGGCCGAUGUCGGAUUAGCUAGUUGGCGGGGUAAAGGCCCACCAAGGCGACGAUCCGUAGCUGGUCUGAGAGGAUGAUCAGCCACACUGGAACUGAGACACGGUCCAGACUCCUACGGGAGGCAGCAGUGGGGAAUAUUGGACAAUGGGCGCAAGCCUGAUCCAGCCAUACCGCGUGGGUGAAGAAGGCCUUCGGGUUGUAAAGCCCUUUUGUUGGGAAAGAAAAGCAGCAGGUUAAUACCCCGCUGUUCUGACGGUACCCAAAGAAUAAGCACCGGCUAACUUCGUG
rnacentral:rRNA from 1 species